AGGGAACAGUGACCAGGAGAUGCUGUAGAAACUCAGGGAACAAUGACCAGGAGAUGCUGUAGAAACUCAGGGAACAAAGACCAGGAGAUGCUGUAGAAACUCAGGGAACAAUGACCAGGAAAUGCUGUAGAAACUCAGGGAACAAUGACCAGGAGAUGCAGUGAAACUCAGCAACGUAGCAGCAGUGGCUCCAGAAAGCUUUAAAGUGGUGAAGCCACAGAACCUGAAGAGGUGAUGAGUUUCAGGGGAGUGGCAGCAAGGAAAGCUGCAGACCCAAGUGUGAGUAUGGUUUCUUCAGGAAGCCCCAUGUACCACAAGCCAGUCAGCAUGCAGAGGAGGACUGGAGGAGAAGGGAAUGAGAAACUGAGUCAGAGGUGUGAAACUGAACAAACUAAAAAAGCAUGCCAAAGCUCUAGAUGAAAAAUGAGUGUUGGGAAAGGUUGCUUUCGGUGAAAGAUGCAAUGAUAACGUUCUCUCAUUUCCUACCUUUUUACAUUUGUUGGUUUUCUGAUCAUGGAAAAUGAGAUAAGCCUUACUUGAAAAUGAAGAGUGAGAGAAAAAGGAAGCAAUGGCAGGAAGCAAACUUGGAGGGUGGAUUGAGCCGUUACUUUUGUCUCCAGCUUGUGAGGAUCUUGCAGCCUUCGUAUAUGAGGGGAAGGUUAAGAGUACUUCGGUGGAGCCGGGACUCCAGGUAGACGCAGCAAGGGUGUGACAUGGGGCAGGAAUAUUUUUUAGUGGCGAGUUCUGUGGCACACUGUAUUGCUCCUACCUUCAUGCAAAGCGCACUUCCCUUAAACUUCCUAGCUCGACGUCAUGAAACUCAAAAGCUGCAACUCACCUUGACCAGACUGUUCACAGUGCAAAUGCAGUUAUCUCUGGCCUCAUCUUUGUCAGGCCAGGGGAGACGAGGAAGACUAGAGAGCUGACGACAGAUGGCCGUAAGAAUGCUUCAUCUGUCUUCAGAUUCAGCUGCAGGUCUCCAUCACUCAGUAGUCUAUGCUCCUAACGAUUGACCUUGGGAGCAAACCCGGGUUCGAAUCCCAACUGUACUUACUGGCUAUAGGAACUCGAUUACAUUCCUCAUCUUCUCUGAAGAGCUUGCUCAUCGGUGGGAUAAUCAUAGCUCCCUGCUGUCAGGUUGCAACAAGAAGAAAGCGGGGUUUGACAAGGUGGGGCCUCACCCAGUGCGUGUGCAGGGCUCAGCAGUGUUCCCUGGAGGAGUGGGAGCAGCUUAAGACCAACCUGAGCCUUCCCCACCCAGCCGCUCGAAUCCAGCCACUUUCCUGUAAUUGCUCUCCUGACUUAAUCCACUUACUGAAAAAGAGGAAAUAUUCCCAGGAGAACUGAAAUCACCCUUAACUUCCCUGCUCUAAACUGCCUUUUCUUCCAGUAUUUUUCCAUAUUCUUUUUGCCUUUUUCCCAACAAAGUAGAAAUCAAAAUUUUAAACUUAGGUUUAACCCUGGAGCAUUGUGAUUGAUGCCUAUCACAUGCACACUGCAUAAAUAAACAUUACCCUAUUGUUAGAUAUUUAAAUUGCUUCCAUUUUUACCUAUAGAAAGGGUACAGCAAUUAACAUCUUAUUAUAUCAAUAUUCAUGUGUAUAUCUGAUAGAGCUAACUCUAGAACAGAUUCCCGCUGAUUGUGGUGAUGCACACCUUUAAUCUCAUCACUCAAGACGCUGAGACCAGAAAAUGCAGAGUUCAAGAUCAGCCAGGUCUACAUAGCAAGACCCUAUUCUCAACCAGAGUAAAAGUACUGGGUUAAUAUCCAUAAGCACACACGAGGCUGCUAGUGCAGCAGUUGCCUUUCAGAAAGCUUAUUCCCCUGGAGAGAUGGCUCAGAGGUUAUGAACACUGGUUGUUCUUCCAGAGGUCCUGAGUUCAAUUCCCAGCAACCACAUGGUGGCUCACCACCAUCUUUAGUGAGAUCUGACACCCUCUUCUGGCCUGCAGGCAUACAUGCAGACAGAACACUGUGUACAGAAAGCCUGUGCCACUUUCUGUCACCAUUCCCCCUCACUAUUAAAUCACCGCGUUCAUCCAUGACAUGCGUGCCAACAUGGAGUAUUAUCAUUUAAAAAAUUUUUACAAUAUUUAUAAAUGUAUACUCCAAUCCAAAUGAUAAUAUUUCAGACAAAUUCCUAAACAUACUAUUAAUAACUAGUAAUUCUUUUAAAAUCUGGUAUGCUGAACAAUGAUUUAAUCUCUUAAUAUUUACUCGUGCCCUGCUAUGAUCUCUGUGUUGAACGAAACAAGUUCACUCCUGCUUCUGAUCCAUGGGAUUCACACAUCACCCUGUUCGGCUCCGUAACUGAGACAGGGUCUUUCGACUCAGUCCUGGCUGGACUUGAACUGUUCAGACAUCAGCAAGCUAUACUAAAGCCCUAACCUGAAGUCUAUAAACUAGAACCUGUGCUGACUAGUCUACGUCAACUUGACACAUGCUAAAGCUGUCUGAAGGGCGGGAACCUCGAUUGAGAAAAUGCCUCCAUAAGAUCUGGCUGUAGGGCAGUUUCUUAAUUAGAGAUUGAUGACGGAGGGCCCGGCUUCCUCUGGAGAGAUCAUCUGAGCAAGUGGUUCUGGGUUCUGUUAGCAAGCAGGCUGAACAAGCCAUGGGAAGCAAGCCAGUAAGCAGCUCCCCUUCCUGGCCUCUGCCCCAGCUCCUGCCUCCACCUCCCUGUCCUGCUCUGACUUCUUUCAGUGAGACUACAAUGUAGAAGUGUAAGCUGAAUAAACUCUUUCUGCCCUGGGUGGCUUUUGGUGAAGGUGUUUCAUUGGUACAAUAGUAACCCUGACCAGACAAACCCCAUCCUUGUGGCUUUUGUCUACAUCAAGAAUUAUAAGCUUCCUGGCCACAAGCAAAGCGAAACUUUUCCUGUUUCCCGGCACAACCAGCAAAGCCUGCCAUGGUGUAUGUUUGAUGCACCUGCUUCAGAAAAGCUUACAGAGCCUGGCAUGAAUCAAAGAGGACCACACCAAUGACGGCCACCACCAGGAGGAGGAUGCCACUCGCAAUGGCCCCGACCUGCAACAAAGCAACGGAGGAAGACAAACGGCAGCACCGCACAGCGAGGGAAGGAAGGAUCUCUAGGUUCCCACCAUUCCUUGGCCACCCCUCAGCACUUUCCGGAUGAUGUCGUUCACACCGGGUACCUGAUGAGGGAAAGCCAAAACCCAGGGGCUGCAGAGUGGUGUGGAUCGAGGUCAAACGUCAACGGAAAUUCCAUGAUGGCACCAUGAGGGCCAGUAAGUGUGUCAUUGGACUACAGAUAGACACCAGCGAAUGUUCCAGCCAGUCUGCUAUGACAGCCUGUGGUACCAGACGGCGUCUUUAUGACCCCAAGAAUCACACCCUGGAAUUCGCUGCUCCAUCGGCUUCCCUGUGGGCACCAAGUGUGCCAGCCAGGGUCAGCACACAUGAAGCUGGGUUCCAGAAGUGGCCAAAGUUGUACCUCCUGUUAGCGGCUGACCUUGGAAGUGUAAGCGUCACCCAGGUGGUACUGGUUUGGAAGACAUGAAGCGGUCCUGGAGAACACCUGAGGCUUGGCGCUGGGAGAAGCCAGGUGAAGCCCCAACAGUGAACCGGUCCUGCAGAGAAGUUGAGGCCUGGCACAAUGAGGAGAGGCCAGGAGAGGCUGUUGGCUAAAGUGCAGCCCAGAACAGCAGCAGCAGAGGAUAGAGCCUGCCCCAGCCUAGAGGACAAGCUGUGUGUGUGACAGAGUGGAGAAGUGACCCAAGCCCUUUGGAGGAGCCCAGAAGAUGGCUCAAGGAACAUCUAAGAGGAGAGGCAGGAAGACUACAAGAAGCGGAGCCAAGCUACUGUGACUGUACCAUGACUGUACCCAUGAACUCAGCAGCAGCUGCCAUUGCUGACACAAGAUCUGCACAGGAUCAAGCCAAUCAGGACUCCGCCCCCUGCACCGACCCUUAAGGGCUGACUGCUCCACAUGGGAGAGUGUUUUCUUCAGUAGCCCACAGUCAUUGCCCCAUGCUCCAGGAAUACAUCCAUGAGCAUCUGGGUGGCUCUGAGACUCAGUGGGGUUCUGUUGUUGUUUGGUUGAUUUCUGGCAGAAAGUGGGGGGGGGGAGGCAGCCUGCGAGGAGUGGGAGCAGAGAAUAUUGUUGUAUAUGAUCUAACUACAUUGUAUGCACAUAUGAAAUUAUCAAAGAAUAAAUCGAGGAGUGGGAGCAGAGAAUGUUGUUGUAUAUGAUCUAACUACAUUGUAUGCACAUAGAAAAUUAUCAAAGAAUAAAUCUUAAAAUAUGGCUUUAAAACCUUUGCUCAUGAGCUGGAGAGUUGAAUCAGGAGUCAGGGAGCAUGGGUUACUCUUGCAGAAGGCAAGGGUUCAAUUCCCUGCACCCACGUGCUGUCUAUAAUUUCACUCACAGAGGAUAUGAUGCCCUCUUCUGGCUUCCUGAGGCUCCAGGUACACAAGUGCUGCACACACACACACACACACACACACACACACACACACACAUUUAUAAACUAGAACCUUCAUUCGGGUUACUUUGCAGCGCUGUCUUUAUUUUCCUACAAGCAGUUUUAAGAGAGUCAAAACACGUGCCUGAAGAUAUUAUGUAAUUAGAAGACUCUUCCAGCAGCAGAAGGCACUUUUCCCUCAAACUAGUGAGGAACUGCACUAUUUUUGAAUCCUGUCUCUUCUCAAGACAGCAUUAUAUGCUCUAUGCCAGAAAGCAUUUGGUAAAAAAAAGCAAAUAAAAAGUUGCCUGUUCAUUAACUUUCACAGCGGCACCAAAGAAUAGAAACCUAACAGAACCUAUGUCUGAGGGAAGAUGAGACCCCUCUAACAGUCCCUAGAAGGUCCUGAGAGCCGCACACAAGCAACCGGUAACCUCCAUGUGUUUACCCUGUGCAGGGGGUAGGCCGUUUAGCUGGUCGCAGAAGCAGGUCUCUGAAGGCAACAACUUUGAGCAGAAAACAAAUGCGCGGAGGAAAGUGCAGUUAAUUUAACAUUUUGUACACACUGAUCAAUAGUCCACAAGCACGUGUACUUGGACCAGAGGAAAAAGAAGGAUUUGCCCAUUUCCCUUGGGUCUGUGGCCUUGGUCCUUGUCAUGGCAAUGCUCACAUCAAUCAUGUGCAUUCACUCGGGACAUAGUCAUGUCUGUCUGUCUGUCUCUCCACCCCCCAUCUCGUGUGUGUAUUAAAAGAUCCUAUCCUAUAGGAAGCUCCUUAAGUAGAAAGGAAAAUAAAACAGCUUCAAGAAGUCCCUGAAACUGACUAGAUUCACUAGGUUUCUCCCUACCAGAGUAAACAAGUCAAGAGGCAAAGAAGGCGAAGACCAGACAAGCUGCCUGGAAGAGGUUUAGACCAACUGAGUCACAUGGGAAGAACACUCUCCAAACUGUUGAGCUGCUUGCAGGCUGUGCAGUGUGCACCAGGUUCACAGCUUUUGUAAGCUGUCACCUGUUGAAAUAAGAACGGCGGGGCUGCGUCCCCAACACCCCGGCCGCUUGGCUAGCUCAUGCCCGAAAUAACAACACACAAACUGUAUUCAUUUAAGAACUGCUUGGCCCAUGAACUCUAGCCCUUACAGGCUAAUUCUCGCACCUGGACUAGCCCAUUUCUAGUAAUGUGUGUAAGCACCCCAAGGUGCGCUUACCGGGAAGA